UGCGCAGGCGGAAUGAUAAGUCAGUGGUGAAAUCCUACAGCUCAACUGUAGAACUGCCAUUGAUACUGUUGUUCUUGAGUACAGUUGUAGUGGGCGGAAUAUGUCAUGUAGCGGUGAAAUGCAUAGAUAUGACAUAGAACACCGAUCGCGAAGGCAGCUCACUCAGCUGAAACUGACGCUGAGGCACGAAAGCGUGGGGAGCAAACAGGAUUAGAUACCCUGGUAGUCC
rnacentral:rRNA from 1 species